rnacentral:rRNA from 1 species
GGUAUGCACUGGCUUCGCUGAUUCCUCCUUUCUGAAGAACUGUAAUGCCAUUAAUUUGGUGUUGCAGGGAAACAGGACUGUUACUUUGAAAAAAUUAGAGUGUUUAAAGCAGGCUAACGCUUGAAUACAUUAGCAUGGAAUAAUGAAAUAGGACGUUUGAUCCUAUUUUGUUGGUUUCUAGGAUUGACGUAAUGAUUAAUAGGGAUAGUUGGGGGCAUUAGUAUUCAAUUGUCAGAGGUGAAAUUCUUGGAUUUAUUGAAGACUGACUACUGCGAAAGCAUUUGCCAAGGAUGUUUUCAUUAAUCAAGAACGAAAGUUAGGGGAUCGAAGACGAUCAGAUACCGUCGUAGUCUUAACCAUAAACUAUGCCGACUAGGGAUCGGAUGAUGUUAAUUUUUUAAUGACUCAUUCGGCGCCUUACG